GGGUAGAGCUCAGGGGCAGAGUGCGUGCCUCACGUGCACGAGGUCCAGGGUUCAAUCCCCAGCGUGCCCA
rnacentral:tRNA from 1 species